CCCUUAGAUGUUCUGGGCUGCACGCGUGCUACACUGAUUAUUUCAACAAGUGUUUUAACUGGAGAGUUCGCGUAAUCCUGAAAUGUUAUCGUGAUGGGAGCAGAGUAUUGUAUUUGUUAAUCUUUAACGAGGAAUUCCUAGUAAGUGUAGGUUUAUAAGUUGUUCUGAUUACGUCCCUGCCCUUUGUACACACCGCCCGUCGCUCCUACCGAUUGAUUGAUCCGGUGAAUUACAUAGAAUUUUGCGUUUUACAUGACGGAAGACGAAGUGUUUUAAACCUUAUCAUUUAGAGGAAGGAGAAGUCGUAACA
rnacentral:rRNA from 1 species